rnacentral:rRNA from 1 species
UACGUAGGGGGCAAGCGUUGUCCGGAAUCAUUGGGCGUAAAGCGCGCGUAGGCUGCCCUGUAAGUCCGUUGUGAAAGUCGAAGGCUCAACCUUCGAAAGCCGAUGGAUACUGCAGGGCUAGAGUCCGGAAGAGGCGAGUGGAAUUCCUGGUGUAGCGGUGGAAUGCGCAGAUAUCAGGAGGAACACCAAUAGCGAAGGCAGCUCGCUGGGACGUGACUGACGCUGAGACGCGAAAGCGUGGGGAGCAAACAGG